CCUACGGGAGGCAGCAGUGGGGGAUAUUGCACAAUGGGGGGAACCCUGAUGCAGCGACGCCGCGUGGGCGAUGGAGUGCUUCGGCAUGUAAAGCCCUAUCAGCAGGGAAGAAAAUGACGGUACCUGACUAAGAAGCCCCGGCUAAAUACGUGCCAGCAGCCGCGGUAAUACGUAUGGGGCAAGCGUUAUCCGGAUUUACUGGGCGGAAAGGGAGCGUAGACGGCCAUGCAAGCCAGGGGUGAAAGCCCGGGGCCCAACCCCGGGACUGCCCUUGGAACUGCAUGGCUGGAGUGCGGGAGGGGCAGGCGGAAUUCCUGGUGUAGCGGUGAAAUGCGUAGAUAUCAGGAGGAACACCGGCGGCGAAGGCGGCCUGCUGGACCGCGACUGACGUUGAGGCUCGAAAGCGUGGGGAGCGAACAGGAUUAGAUACCCCGGUAGUC
rnacentral:rRNA from 1 species